rnacentral:rRNA from 1 species
UACGGAGGAUCCAAGCGUUAUCCGGAUUCAUUGGGCUUAAAGGGUGCGUAGGCGGACUGAUAAGUCAGCGGUGAAAUCUCUCGGCUUAACCGAGAAACUGCCGUUGAUACUGUCAGUCUUGAGUACAGAUGAUGUGGGCGGAAUAUGACAUGUAGUGGUGAAAUACUUAGAUAUGUCAUAGAACACCGAUUGCGAAGGCAGCUCACAAAACUGUCACUGACGCUGAGGCACGAAAGCGUGGGGAUCAAACAGG